GCGUCGUAAGACACAGGUCGAUAUUUGAGACCGGUGUGUAUACAAUGUUACCAUAGCUCUUUAACUUUCUCUGGUUUUUUUGGGUUUUUUUACUUCCUGGUCAGAAAUGAUCUUUGGUUUAACAAUUCAGUUCUUUGUGAAAUUUUGGUCGACAUUCAAUGAAAGCAAUAGGUAGCCAUACAUGUGGACUAAUAACAAUGGCAUGUUCUAAAAUGAGCACAGAUGAUAUAGAAAUGUUAUUUGAACGGACACCGGUAGAUGCGUUAAAUGUCGCCUCACGUAGGAUUUUAUCAGACAAAUUAAAGAAUAACGGGAAACUUGUAGAGUUGGGUGACGGAUCCCGGAGACAAGUCUGUGAUGAUUAUACAGGUAUCGCCGAGCUGGAGAACUUUCAUCCGGAAGAGAUUAAGGAUCUCAGUGACAGUCCUGAUCCAGUCGAAUCACUAGUAUCAGAGCUGGCUGGAAAAGAGUGUACUGUUGGACAUCUUCGGAGAGACCUUAUCAAUAUGGGACGAAGAAGUGUUGUUAGGAUGAGUCACGCAAAUUGGGAUAUCACCCUUGGCAUAUUACUGAGCGCAGCACGAACACGAGGGGUUCUUGACAGGUUUUUGUUUUAUUUGAAAUUUAAAGAAAGAAACAGGUAUUAAAAUUGAAAACAUGAUAAAUAGAAUACUAUACAAGUGUCCGACAUUAUAAUAUUUAUCAGGCUCGGGGUUAUAAAUUGUGUAAUAUCAGACACAAGCAUGGUAUUCUCUAUUUUUAUCCAUUGAUUCUGCGACGAAUGCUCCAGCGCCGCAACGAUGGAUCCACCGAUUCUACGAAAGUUGUGGUAACACCUUUAACAUCAUCAUUAAUAUCGUAAAUACUGUCGGUUGUUGUUGCCGCAAUGAUGGAUUCCACCGAUUCUAAGAAAGUUAUGUUAAUGACUGUGUCGUUUAUGAAGACAAAUUUGAAAAUACAAGAAGUUCAGUGAAUAUAUAUAGCAGGCAUAUUCCAGAUAUAGACACAGACGAUGACAUAGAUUUUGAUGAAGGUAAUUACGUAUUAACAUAGAAUUACCAACCAUGCAGAUUUGUAACUCAAAACGUAUUCGUGUCUUGUGAGAAAAUAUGUUUAAAAUAUUAUAUCUAAAUGAAUAGUUCAUGUAAAAACUCAUUAUGUACUAAGAUCUUAUAUUACACAGGAAACAUUUAAUCAAUACAUUUUUACAAGUUUAAGUUUUAAAUUUUACCCAAAAUAUCUGUCUUUUUAUCUAAAUUCGAGAUAUCCAAGUUAAAAUGUCAACUGUAUGCUUUUAAAAUCUUAUUAAGAUUGAAACAGUAUUUC